CCUACGGGUGGCAGCAGUGGGGGAGAUUGCACAAUGGGGGGAACCCUGAUGCAGCGACGCCGCGUGGGUGAAGAAGAGCCUCGGCGCGUAAAGCCCUGUCAGCAGGGAAGAAAAUGACGGUACCUGAAGAAGAAGCCCCGGCGAACGACGUGCCAGCAGCCGCGGUAAUCCGUAGGGGGCAAGCGUUAUCCGGAUUUACUGGGUGUACAGGGGGCGCAGCCGGCGAGGCAAGCCAGGAGUGAAAGCCCGGGGCCCAACCCCGGGACGGCUCGUGGAACUGCGUGGCUGGAGUGCAGGAGGGGCAGGCGGCCUUCCUGGUGUAGCGGUGACAUGC
rnacentral:rRNA from 1 species